CGUAGGGUCCAAGCGUUACCCGGAAUCACUGGGCGUAAAGCGUGCGUAGGUGGCGCGUUAAGUGAGAUGUUAAAACGUGGGGCUCAACCCUGUCGGUGCAUCUCAUACUGGCGUGCUAGAGGACAGCAGAGGCAAGUGGAAUUAGCAGUGUAGCAGUGAAAUGCGUAGAUAUUGCUAGGAACACCAAUGGCGAAGGCAGCUUGCUGGGCUACUCCUGACACUGAGGUACGAAAGCGUGGGGAGCGAACAGGAUUAGAUACCCUGGUAGUCCACGCCGUAAACGAUGCAUACUAGACGUAUGGGGUAUCGACCCCCUGUGCGUCGAAGCUAACGCGAUAAGUAUGCCGCCUGGGAAGUACGGCCGCAAGGCUA
rnacentral:rRNA from 1 species